AAGCGAAGCCGCGAGGUGGAGCGAAUCCCCAAAAGCAGUCUCAGUUCAGAUUGUAGGCUGAAACUCGCCUAUAUGAAGUCGGAAUUGCUAGUAAUCGCGGAUCAGCAUGCCGCGGUGAAUACGUUCCCGGGCCUUGUACACACCGCCCGUCACACCAUGAGAGUCGAUAACACCCGAAGCCUGUAGUCUAACCGUAAGGGGGACGCAGUCGAAGGUGGGAUUGAUAAUUAGGGUGAAGUCGUAACAAGGUACC
rnacentral:rRNA from 1 species